rnacentral:rRNA from 1 species
CCUACGGGUGACAGCAGUGAGGAAUAUUGGUCAAUGGGCGCGAGCCUGAACCAGCCAAGUAGCGUGAAGGAUGACUGCCCUACGGGUUGUAAACUUCUUUUAUAAAGGAAUAAAGUGAGGAACGUGUGCCUUUUUGUAUGUACUUUAUGAAUAAGGAUCUGCUAACUCCGUGCCAGCAGCCGCGGUAAUACGGAGGAUCCGAGCGUUAUCCGGAUUUAUUGGGGUUAAAGGGAGCGUAGGUGGUGUUUUAAGUCAGUUGUGAAAGUUUGCGGCUCAACCGUAAAAUUGCAAUUGAUACUGGCAGCCUUGAGUACAGUUGAGGUAGGCGGAAUUCGUGGUGUAGCAGUGAAAUGCUUAGAUAUCACGAAGAACUCCGAUUGCGAAGGCAGCUUACUAAACUGCCACUGACAUUGAUGCUCGAAAGUGUGGGUAUCAAACAGGAUUAGAUACCCCGGUAGUC